rnacentral:misc_RNA from 1 species
AAAGUCGUAACAAGGUUUCCGUAGGUGAACCUGCGGAAGGAUCAUUACAGAGUUCAUGCCCCUACGGGUAGAUCUCCCACCCUUGAAUAUUAUACCUUUGUUGCUUUGGCGGGCACUCACCAGCCGUAGCCGGUAGCCGAAGCGGCCCGCCAAAGGACCCCCAAACUCUGAAUUAUAGUGUCGUCUGAGUACUAUAUAAUAGUUAAAACUUUCAACAACGGAUCUCUUGGUUCUG